rnacentral:rRNA from 1 species
UACGUAGGGUGCAAGCGUUAAUCGGAAUUACUGGGCGUAAAGCGUGCGCAGGCGGUUUUGUAAGUCUGACGUGAAAUCCCCGGGCUUAACCUGGGAAUUGCGUUGGAGACUGCAAGGCUAGAGUCUGGCAGAGGGGGGUAGAAUUCCACGUGUAGCAGUGAAAUACGUAGAGAUGUGGAGGAACACCGAUGGCGAAGGCAGCCCCCUGGGUCAAGACUGACGCUCAUGCACGAAAGCGUGGGGAGCAAACAGG